CUUGCUCCCUGAUGUUAGCGGCGGACGGGUGAGUAACACGUGGGUAACCUGCCUGUAAGACUGGGAUAACUCCGGGAAACCGGGGCUAAUACCGGAUGCUUGUUUGAACCGCAUGGUUCAAACAUAAAAGGUGGCUUCGGCUACCACUUACAGAUGGACCCGCGGCGCAUUAGCUAGUUGGUGAGGUAAUGGCUCACCAAGGCAACGAUGCGUAGCCGACCUGAGAGGGUGAUCGGCCACACUGGGACUGAGACACGGCCCAGACUCCUACGGGAGGCAGCAGUAGGGAAUCUUCCGCAAUGGACGAAAGUCUGACGGAGCAACGCCGCGUGAGUGAUGAAGGUUUUCGGAUCGUAAAGCUCUGUUGUUAGGGAAGAACAAGUACCGUUCGAAUAGGGCGGUACCUUGACGGUACCUAACCAGAAAGCCACGGCUAACUACGUGCCAGCAGCCGCGGUAAUACGUAGGUGGCAAGCGUUGUCCGGAAUUAUUGGGCGUAAAGGGCUCGCAGGCGGUUUCUUAAGUCUGAUGUGAAAGCCCCCGGCUCAACCGGGGAGGGUCAUUGGAAACUGGGGGAACUUGAGUGCAGAAGAGGAGAGUGGAAUUCCACGUGUAGCGGUGAAAUGCGUAGAGAUGUGGAGGGAACACCAGUGGCGAA
rnacentral:rRNA from 1 species